CCUACGGGUGGCAGCAGUGGGGAAUAUUGCACAAUGGGGGAAACCCUGAUGCAGCGACGCCGCGUGAGUGAAGAAGUAAUUCGUUAUGUAAAGCUCUAUCAGCAGGGAAGAAAAUGACGGUACCUGAGUAAGAAGCCACGGCUAACUACGUGCCAGCAGCCGCUGUUAUACGUAGGGGGCAAGCGUUAUCCGGGUUUACUGGGUGUAAAGGGAGCGUAGACGGCAGUGCAAGGCUGGAGUGAAAGGCGGGGGCUCAACCCCCGGACUGCGCUGGAAACUGUACGGCUGGAGUGCAGGAGAGGUAAGUGGAAUUCCUAGUGUAGCGGUGAAAUGCGUAGAUAUUAGGAGGAACACCAGUGGCGAAGGCAGCUUACUGGACUGUAACUGACGUUGAGGCUCGAAAGCGUGGGUAGCAAACAGGAUUAGAUACCCGGGUAGUC
rnacentral:rRNA from 1 species